AGCUUUGCGCAGUGGCAGUAUUGUAGCCAAUGAGGUUUAUCCGAGGUGUGAUUAUUGCUAAUUGAAAAUUUUUCCCAAUACCGCGCCAUGACAACUUGAAAUAUAGUCGGCAUUGGCAAUUUUUGACAGUCUCUAUGGAUA
rnacentral:snRNA from 1 species